UUCUCUCCAUUGUCAUCCUCCAUUGUCGAAGGUUGCCAUUAUUUUUCAGUCCUACGGUUGCAUCUAAGUCCCAAAUCCUCUACAAAAUCAUUUUCUCUCUAUCAGUGCUUCAAUUUCAUCCGCCAUUUCCAAACCCUCUUCAAAGUUUUCUCAAGAAAACACAUAUUCAGUCACUAAAAUCUUAUCCAUAGUCAAAAAUGGUGAAAAAACAUAG
rnacentral:lncRNA from 1 species